CUCUCACAGAGACCUCAUGCUGAGGCCUGGAGAAGUCAUGUCCAUCUACAACCACAAGUGUACUCAGGCACCUAACUUCUGCUUGAGAAAUGUGGUGCUGGGGCAGAAUGGCUCUGCCUCUCCCAAUCAAUGUUCUUGUCCAGGACACCUCCUCUGCCACUUCAGAUGACAGAGUUAUUCAGGAGGCAGUACAGUAGCACCUGGGAAAAUAAUGCACCAGAAACACUUCCGUAUUUUGCUGAGACAUCAC
rnacentral:lncRNA from 14 species